UACGUAGGGGGCGAGCGUUGUCCGGAUUUAUUGGGCGUAAAGAGCUCGUAGGCGGUUUGGUAAGUUGGAUGUGAAAUCUCCAGGCUCAACUUGGAGGGGUCAUUCGAUACUGCCAUGACUAGAGUUCGGUAGGGGAGUGUGGAAUUCCUGGUGGAGCGGUGAAAUGCGCAGAUAUCAGGAGGAACACCCGUAGCGAAGGCGGCACUCUGGGACGGAACUGACGCUGAGGAGCGAAAGCGUGGGGAGCGAACAGG
rnacentral:rRNA from 1 species